rnacentral:lncRNA from 1 species
GCUAAUGACGCUGACAAUGAGUCAGGUGAUGACUGAGCCCAGAAUAAGUGGCAACUGGAAGGAGAUGAUGUUGGCAAACUAUAUGGCCAUCCAAAACACGAGGUUCACCCACAGCUUGUGCACCAUACACCAUAAGAAAUAGGGUUCUAUUUUGGAUAGGAUGUUCGGUGCGUCCUUGUGGCUGGAAACACAUGCUUCCUCUUGCAAAUUUAUGCCUUUUUUCGAUCUCAAAUAGAUUCAGUGUCUUUAGUAGUAGGUUUCUACAAGUGGGGUUAUUGCAAUUCAAGUUGUUCGGUGGCACGACUAGGUACAGCCGGAUGGGCAUCUGGUGCUCUUGGGUGGGAUUCAGGGAUGUUGAUGACGAGAUUACCUUGUGGGUGGUCGCUCACUGUGGAACUGCUUGUAGUGUGUGGUGGUUCUAACUGUGCAACAGAAUUGGGGGAUUUGGUGCAUUAUGUAUUGCUUUGUUUGCUACUUUUUUGGCAACUUGUUCAAAAUCCUUCUCGGUUUGGCGAGCGGUGAAUUAGGUUCGAGGGUCACAGGUCUUGCGAGUGGAUCUCUUUUACCUCAUGAUUUUUGUGUCUGUGAUUAUGGUUGGUUAAGAAUCAAGAGUUGGGGUUUGAAGGUUCGGGAAGAAGCAGAGAGGUUAGGGUAAAGUUUGGGAAUUUUUAAAAUUUGGAAGGGGCGCUAAG